AAGGCGGGGACAAGCUCAGUAACAGUAAGAAUAAAUUAGCCUUUGAAAAACAAAUUAUUAAGUCCUCAAUAAGGGUUUUUACUGGGAAAUGAAAACAUUUUAUCACCAUCACUUGCUCGAAUGAGGCCUGGAAUGAUGGGGUCGAACUACUCCUAGUAGAUUACCAUGGUCCCUGGUAUGUGUUGUGAACAACAAAAGCGCAAUGUGGCCAAAUUUAUUUAUUUUUAACUUGUUUCAAAAUAAACCAACUGGGAGACUGAUAAACUUGGGCACACCUAUGAGGCUGAGACUAGGUUAACAUUUUAAGCAAUAAUACUUUUUAGGAAAAAUAUAAAAAUGUACCUAAAUUCAAAAUUUUGAUCUCUUAUCUGUAUUUUUUUUUGUUUUAGUUUGAUCUCUUAAAUUUAAAAAGUUACACUUUGGUCCCUUAAAGUGUCUCUAAUAGACCAAAUUGGGCCUUUCUUUAGUUUUUUGCACGAUGUUAAUUUUAACUGACGUGACAUAUCUCACAAUGCAAAAACAAAAUUAGUGUAGUAAACUGGCAAAAACACCAACUUAACAGAGACACUUUAAGAGACCUAAGUAAAACUUUCUAGACAUUGGAGACCAAACUGAAACCAAAAAUACAAAUAAGGGCCAAAGUUUUAUUUUAGCCCCUCUUUUGUUAUUCAUUCAAGCAACAACUUGUGCAAAUCAUGUGGAUGAAGACAGACUAAGAAUUGCUACUAUAUUAAUCUAAAAAUGAGUGGCAUGUUAUUACUUGUUAGAUUCCAGAAAUUAAGCUCUCAUUCAAUUAUAUAACACUGUUGAGAUGUCUUUAUUGCCCGAUGAUAAUAAUGGAGAAAUGGCAUGCAUACCGGAGCAACCAAAUUGCUCAGGAUCAAAAUAAUUGAUUUAGCAACAGAUUGAGUUGGCAUCACUUCCAGUGAACCGGAGGAAUCUGCAAAUAAAAAGCAUUCACAAGUCACAACCCGUGAAUAAAGAGAAAUGAUGCAAUGCUAUGAUUGAUCACAUGACAAAUGAUACUAAACUGGGAGUCAUGAAAGGCAACUAGUAUGAGCUAUAAUAUUUUGACUAUUGUAUUGAGACUGACAUGUAUGAACAGAAUGUGCCCGUGUAAAUGCUUAUUAAGGCAACCAUAGUAAUUACUUGAGUUGGACCCUUAAAGUGAGGAA